AGAGUUUGAUCAUGGCUCAGAGCGUACGCUGGCGGCACGCCUAACACAUGCAAGUCGAACGAAGUAGCAAUACUUAGUGGCAGACGGGUGAGUAACAUGUAGGUAUCUGCCCUUUGGCCUGGAAUAACACGAGGAAACUUGUGCUAAUACCGGAUAAGUCUUUACGGAGAAAGCUUUAUGCACCAUUGGAUGAGCCUGCACUUGAUUAGUUUGUUGGUGGGGUAAUGGCCUACCAAGACUGUGAUCAAUAGCUGAUUUGAGAGGAUGAUCAGCCACAUUGGGACUGAGACACGGCCCAAACUCCUACGGGAGGCAGCAGUGGGGAAUCUUGCACAAUGGAGGAAACUCUGAUGCAGCGAUGCCGCGUGAGUGAAGAAGGCCCUUGGGUUGUAAAGCUCUUUCGUCGGGGAAGAAAAUGACUGUACCCGAAUAAGAAGGUCCGGCUAACUUCGUGCCAGCAGCCGCGGUAAU
rnacentral:rRNA from 1 species